rnacentral:rRNA from 1 species
AUUGAACGCUGGCGGCAGGCUUAACACAUGCAAGUCGAGCGGCAGCACGGGGGCAACCCUGGUGGCGAGCGGCGAACGGGUGAGUAAUACAUCGGAACAUGCCCAGUCGUGGGGGAUAACACUUCGAAAGAAGUGCUAAUACCGCAUACGUCCUGAGGGAGAAAGCGGGGGAUCUUCGGACCUCGCGCGAUUGGAGUGGCCGAUGUCAGAUUAGCUAGUUGGUGGGGUAAAGGCCUACCAAGGCAACGAUCUGUAGCUGGUCUGAGAGGAUGAUCAGCCACACUGGGACGGAGACACGGCCCAGACUCCUACGGGAGGCAGCAGUGGGGAAUUUUGGACAAUGGGGGCAACCCUGAUCCAGCCAUUCCGCGUGAGUGAAGAAGGCCUUCGGGUUGUAAAGCUCUUUCGGCAGGAACGAAACGGUGAGCUCUAACAUAGCUUGCUAAUGACGGUACCUGAAGAAUAAGCACCGGCUAACUACGUGCCAGCCGCCGCGGUAAAAC